UACGUAGGGUGCAAGCGUUAAUCGGAAUUACUGGGCGUAAAGCGUGCGCAGGCGGUUUUGUAAGACAGGUGUGAAAUCCCCGGGCUUAACCUGGGAACUGCAUUUGUGACUGCAUAGCUAGAGUCUGUCAGAGGGGGGUGGAAUUCCACGUGUAGCAGUGAAAUGCGUAGAGAUGUGGAGGAACACCGAUGGCGAAGGCAGCCCCCUGGGAUAAGACUGACGCUCAUGUACGAAAGCGUGGGGAGCAAACAGG
rnacentral:rRNA from 1 species